rnacentral:rRNA from 1 species
GAUGAACGCUGGCGGCGUGCCUAAUACAUGCAAGUCGAGCGAACAGACGAGGAGCUUGCUCCUCUGACGUUAGCGGCGGACGGGUGAGUAACACGUGGAUAACCUACCUAUAAGAUUGGGAUAACUUCGGGAAACCGGAGCUAAUACCGGAUAAUAUAUUGAACCGCAUGGUUCAAUAGUGAAAGACGGUUUUGCUGUCACUUAUAGAUGGAUCCGCGCCGCAUUAGCUAGUUGGUAAGGUAACGGCUUACCAAGGCGACGAGGCGUAGCCGACCUGAGAGGGUGAUCGGGCACACUGGAACUGAGACACGGUCCAGACUCCUACGGGAGGCAGCAGUAGGGAAUCUUCCGCAAUGGGCGAAAGCCUGACGGAGCAACGCCGCGUGAGUGAUGAAGGUCUUCGGAUCGUAAAACUCUGUUAUUAGGGAAGAACAAAUGUGUAAGUAACUAUGCACGUCUUGACGGUACCUAAUCAGAAAGCCACGGCUAACUACGUG